GUGUGGCGGCGGCGGUCAGCCAAUGGGAGCGAAGCGUUUGGUUGCCGUAGCGACAGGAAGAACGCGUGGAAGCAGAGCGGCACUUAGACCCCUGAGGAACGGAGGUGCUGGCUGAAGGCUGAGAUGCAGUGGCUGCAGCACGACACAGCGCGGGCCAUGGAUGUACCCAGGACUUGAGCACUGACAGUGAAAGUCCCAGUGCCCCACACGAUGGUAUGAUGUGGAAUACCGAAAGGCAAAACUCACAAAGCCACGACGCUGUCCUGACAGCUGCUUCUGCUCUCACAACUACUUGGAACGAUCCUUUGCAGUCGGGUUGCAGCUUUGCCUCCUUGGUCUGGAUGAGCACCCAGCCUCCAGGCUGGGAUGGAUGAAUGGGAAAUUGCAGAGGCGAUGAUUGUGCCAGCAGUCCUCGGGUCCUGAGAGAGGAUAGUGAGGAAGACAGUCCGAGUCUGCGGUUCUUAAGGAACACAUCUUGAGUUUCAAACUGCGGUACCUCAUUUUUCUUUCCCAGAUAUGGGAACCCGAAUAACAUUUCCUAUGGAGAAACCCCCACAGCCUGUCUUGGUGCUGUACGGAUUCGGAGAAGUGCCAGAGGCAGGCAUUUGGUCCAACGGAGCCGAGUCUCUACGGCCAACUUGUGAGGAGCUUCUGUAUUCUCUGACUCGUUCUUUCUGCUUUUCCUGAUGACGGCAGGUGCCGGGGGUAUGAAAUUCCCAUUUAAUCCCUGAAGCGUGCAUUAGUUUCUGUAAUGUGUGUGAAGUGAAAUGACUGCCUUGUUCUGAAUCCACAUAUCCUACUCCUCCAUACCUAGGGAUUAUGUGUUCCAAAAUCACCUUGGCCACCACAUUUGCAGUGGCAGAUACUGACGGAAAUGCUUCUGCCCGCCACUUCAAUGGUCUGCUGACACGAACGAGUCUUGAUUUUCCCUGCAUUCGGGAGUUAUGUAAAAUCUGCUUGAGUACUUUGGAAUGGUCGAAUCCCCGGCUCUCUUUCCCCUUCAGGCCGGUGUCUGAUAGCCUUAUUAUUCACUUUCUGGCACGCUACACAUCCCCUACAGACCUGUUUAGCCAGAGUAUAUACCCCUAUAUAUCCCUGUGCUUACGUAUUUUCGCAGCACAGCAUCACACGGGGCUUGUACUCCCCAAUGACUGCCUUGAUGCAGGGUGAUUAAAAUUGCGCUUGUCACUGCCUUGCUUAA